GAUGAUGUUUCCUUUUGUAUCCAGUUUGGUUUUUCUCCCUGUGAAGGUCUGUAAUACUAGGGCAGCCAUGAAUGGGAAAGAAUCUCAUAGCCUGCAAUGGGAAGGAAGCAAAAUGGGAAGCUCCACACCUGAGAGUUGGGGGAGAGCAGGAGCAGGGAGGCUCCCAGCUGACAGAUUGUGUGUGCACACAGAUGGUUCUCCCUGGAAAGUUCUGCUGGCAGAUCCUGGCAUUGGGGAAGUUGGGAAAAUACAUGAACACUGUCUGCUGGGGACUGGGUGGCAUGCCCUCUCCCGUGAAGAGCAGGCUAAAUAUUAUGAAUUAGCACGGAAAGAAAGACAGCUACAUAUGCAGCUUUAUCCAGGCUGGUCUGCAAGAGACAAUUAUGGUAAGAAAAAGAAGAGGAAGAGAGAGAAACUACAGGAAUCUGCAUCAGGUACAGGUCCAAGAAUGACAGCUGCCUACAUCUGAAACAUGGUGGAAAACGAAGCUCAUUCCCAACGUGCAAAGCCAAGGCAGCGACCCCAGGACCUCUUCUGGAGAUGGAAGCUUGUUGAAAACCCAGACUGUCUCCACGGCCUGCCCAGUCGACCCCAAAGGAACACUGACAUCAAUUUUACCCUGAGGUCACUGCUAGAGACGCUGAUCCAUAAAGACAAUCACUGCCAACCCCUCUUUCGUCUACUGCAAGAGCCAAGUUCCAAAAUAAAGCAUAAAAAGGUUUUUUAAAAGGAAAUGUAAAAGCACAUGAGAAUGCUAGCAGGCUGUGGGGCAGCUGAGCAGCUUUUCUCCCCUCAUAUCUGCGUGCACUUCCCAGAGCAUCUUGCAUCCAAACCUGUAACCUUUCGGCAAGGACGGUAACUUGGCUGCAUUUG
rnacentral:lncRNA from 1 species